UGGAAACUGAGUGAAUGCCCAUCAAUUUGACAAUGGCUGAAUAAAUUAUGGUAUAGGAAUGUAAUGGAAAAUUAUUGUUCUAUAAGAAAUGACUAGCAGGAUGAUUUCAGAGAGGCCUGGAGAGACUUACAUGAACUGAUGCUAAAUGCAAUGAUAGGACUAAGAGAACAUUGUACAUGGCAACAAGAAGAAUAUGUGAUGAUCAAUUCUGAUGGACUUGGCUUUUCAAAAAUGAGGUGAUUCAGACCAAUUCCAAUAGACUUGUGAUGGAGAGAGCCAUCUGCAUCUAGAAAGGGAACUGUGGGGACUGAGUGUGGAUCACAACAUAGCAUUUUCACUUUUUGAUGUUGUUUUCUUGCAUUUUGUUUUCUUUCUCAUUUUUUAAUCUGAUUUUUCUUGUGCAGCAUAGACGAAUUGCACAUGUUUAACAUAUAUUGGAUGACUUACUGGCUAGGAGAGGAAGUGGGGGGAAGGGAGAGAAAAAAAUUGGAAUAUAAGUUUUUGCAAGGAUGAAUGUUGAAAACUAUCGUUGUACAUAUUUUGAAAAUAAAAGACUUAUUUUUUUUCUUUUUUGUUUGUUUUUUAAUUAAAGCUUUUAAUUUACAAAAAUCUUAUGUUCCAAAUUUUCCCCUCCUUCCCCCAACCUUCUCCUAGAUGGCAGAUAAUCCUAUGACAUGUUAAAUAUAUUAAAAUAUAUAUUAAAUCCAAUAUAUGUAUACAUAUUUAUACAAUUAUCUUGCUGUAUAAGAAAAAAUUGGAUCAAGAAGGAAAAAAACUGAGAAAGAAAACAAAAUGCAAGCAAACAACAACAGAAAGAAUGAAAAUGCUAUGUUGUGGUCCACACUCAAUUCCUUCUCUCUGGCUCUCUUCAUCACAAGAUUAUUGGAUCUGAUUUGAAUCAUCUCACUGUUGAAAAGAGCCACAUCCAUCAGAAUUGAUCAUCAUAAAAUCUCGUUGUUGCCAUGUACAAUGAUCUCGUGGGUCUGCUUAUUUAGCAUCAGUUCAUAUAAGUCUCUCCAGGCCUCUCUGAAAUCAUCCUGCUGAUUGUUUGUUAUAGAACCAUAAUAUUCCAUAACAUUGAUAUAUAAUAAUUUAUUCAGCCAUUCUCCAACUUGAUGGGCAUCCACUGAAUUUCCAGUUUCUUGCUACUACAAAAAGGGCUGAAAAGGCUAUUUUUUAAAAAGAGAGUUAAUAUAGCCUCCUCCACUACUCUAUGUGUCACUUCCCUCCCC
rnacentral:lncRNA from 1 species